UACAGAGGAGCCAAGCGUUGUCCGGAUUGACUGGGCGUAAAGCGCACGCAGGCGGUCGCGCGCGUGGGGUGUGAAAUCUGGCCGCUUAACGGCCAGGCGCCAUCCCAUACGGCGCGACUGGAGUGAUGCAGAGGUCGAUGGAAUUGCCGGUGUAGUGGUGAAAUGCGUAGAGAUCGGCAGGAACACCCAGGGGGAAACCAGUGGACUGGCACGGUGCUGACGCUCAGGUGCGAAAGCGUGGGGAGCGAACCGG
rnacentral:rRNA from 1 species